AGAGUUCAGGGGAGGGAAUGAUAGAGGAGGAGGAGGCAGAGGAGGGACAGGGGCUAUGAGGAGGGCCGUCCACAUAAACAAGUUUAGACAACCCCGCCGUUGUGUGUUUACUCACCUCCUUCACACUGCUGGAGGCCUUUGGGAAAUGCUCCUCUCCUGUUAAAGCCUGGUACCUCUUCUCCAGGGAACACAACCUGUCCUGCUCCUGAAAGUUGUGACAAAUUGGGGGCUCGUCCGGGAUACCACCAUUGAGGACGAGCUCACCUUCUGCAGCUGCUGUAGAGCCGCGGUGCGUUCUUUCACCAUCCUCUCGCAGUCCUGAGACGCCUGUAUCCCCAGCUGCCUCACCUGAGCGUCCAACACAGCCACUUUCUCCUGGGAAUUCACGUUUUGUGUUUUCAUGAAGCAAAAACAAAAAGUACAGACACUCACACAUUUAUCCCCACCUUCCUGUUGGCCACACGGUAGUGAAACUCUGCUUGUUCCUGGAGAAGCUGUGAACUCUGAGCCUCCUUCUUCUCCUCCAGCCGGCUCUCCUCCUCCAGCUGACAGAACUCCAGCUCCUCAAACUGCUUGGUGCCAGACUCAAGAGCUUCUGCUUUCUGCUUGUGUACAGAAAUAUGUGACUUAUUCACACAGUUGACAUUUAAAUGAUUUAUUUAUGAUCAACUAGUGAAAUAAAUCAAUAACUAAAAAAACAUCCUAAAAUAUUCAUAUUUUGAAUCCAUAGAUUUGUAGGUUUGUGUGUUUGCAUGAAUCUGCAAAAGAUUUUCUGCCAUCAGAAAAGCUGUAACUCGCCUGUCAUCAUUGCACGAUAGUAUUAAAAGAUGCUGCAGCUAUUUUACAAAUGUGUAACUAUUACCUAAAGGGAUGCUUCAAAAGGUCUGAAAUUCUUUCUAAAAUGUAAACGUUUGACAUUUUAUGCCAGCAACACGUGUCAGAGAAGCUGGAACCAGGAUGAUAAAAACUGGAAAGUUUAGUCAUGUUAAAUAAGCAAUGUAGUAUAACGGGAGUCAGCUGCACAUCUCUGAUUUAAUCGCACAUCCAACCAACAUUCAACUCAUUCAGACAACAAUGGGUUUAUUGUCUAAUUUUCUUAAACUUUAUUAUUUUUUUUUAAUUACUAUCCAUGUUUUUAAGGCCCUAAAUUGGGAAAAAAUGAUCAAAGUUCCAGAAAGAAAAUGUUAAAUGUCUAAGAUCUGCAGCUUUACACUAAAUAUAAAAUUGAUACUGGAAAAAAUUCAAAAUGCAAAAGAAAAAAAAGAAAAA